rnacentral:rRNA from 1 species
CUAAUACAUGCUAAAAAUCCCGACUUCGGAAGGGUUGUAUUUAUUAGAUUAAAAACCAAUGCCCCUCGGGGCUCUCUGGUGAAUCAUGAUAACUAAUCGAAUCGCCAGGCCUUGUGCCGGCGAUGGCUCAUUCAAAUUUCUUCCCUAUCAACUUUCGAUGUUUGGGUCUUGUCCAAACAUGGUGGCAACGGGUAACGGAGGGUUAGGGCUCGANUCCGGAGAAGGAGCCUGAGAAACGGCUACUACAUCCAAGGAAGGCAGCAGGCGCGCAAAUUACCCAAUCCCGACACGGGGAGGUAGUGACAAUAAAUACUGAUACAGGGC